CAGUCGCCGCGGUAACACGGAGGGGGCUAGCGUUGUUCGGAAUUACUGGGCGUAAAGCGCACGUAGGCGGCUUGGUAAGUUAGAGGUGAAAGCCUGGAGCUCAACUCCAGAAUUGCCUUUAAGACUGCCGAGCUAGCAGGUGAGAGAGGUAAGUGGAAUUCCGAGUGUAGAGGUGAAAUUCGUAGAUAUUCGGAAGAACACCAGUGGCGAAGGCGGCUUACUGGCUCAUACUGGACGCUGAGGUGCGAAAGCGUGGGGAGCAAACAGGAUUAGAUACCCCAGUAGUCCCUGUCUCUUAUAA
rnacentral:rRNA from 1 species